rnacentral:rRNA from 1 species
GAUCAACGCUGGCGGCGUGCUUAACACAUGCAAGUCGAACGAAGUUUUUCUUUCGGGAGGAACUUAGUGGCGGACGGGUGAGUAACGCGUGGGUAACCUGCCCUGUACAGGGGGACAACAGCUGGAAACGGCUGCUAAUACCGCAUAAGCCCUUAGCACUGCAUGGUGCAUCGGGAAAAGGAGCAAUCCGGUACAGGAUGGACCCGCGUCUGAUUAGCCAGUUGGCAGGGUAACGGCCUACCAAAGCGACGAUCAGUAGCCGAUCUGAGAGGAUGUACGGCCACAUUGGGACUGAGACACGGCCCAGACUCCUACGGGAGGCAGCAGUGGGGAAUAUUGCACAAUGGAGGAAACUCUGAUGCAGCGACGCCGCGUGAGUGAAGAAGUAUUUCGGUAUGUAAAGCUCUAUCAGCAGGAAAGAAAAUGACGGUACCUGACUAAGAAGCACCGGCUAAAUACGUG